GCAAGAUACCACGGGCGCACGGCGGAUGCCUUGGCACAGGGAGCCGAUGAAGGACGCGGCAAGCUGCGAUAAUCCCCGGCGAGGAGCACACAUCCUUCGACCCGGGGGUCUCCGAAUGGGCGAACCCAUCCACAGAGGUGUGGAUAUCCCCGGCCCGAACACAUAGGGCCGGGGAGGACAACCCGGGGAACUGAAACAUCUAAGUACCCGGAGGAGAGGAAAUCAAUCUCGAGACUCCCCGAGUAGCGGCGAGCGAAAGGGGACCGAUGGCCAAACCGUCGAGCGGGCAUACCCGGCAGGGGUUCCGCCGACGGGGUUGCAGGGCCGCGCAUCCGGGGGCUGCCGCCCCCGGGCGCAGGUCCGGCUGGGGAGCGGAACGGCAUGGGAGGGCCGGCCGCAGCGGGUGACAGCCCCGUACGCGAACCCAGACCGGACGGCGCGACGCGGUCCCUGAGUAGGGCCGGGCACGUGAAACCCGGUCCGAACCUGGGUGGACCACCAUCCAAGCCUGAGUACUACCCUGUGACCGAUAGCGCACCAGUACCGUGAGGGAAAGGUGAAAAGCACCCCGGGAGGGGAGUGAAACAGUACCUGAAACCGUGCGCCCACGAGCAGUCGGAGCAACUUUAUGUUGUGACGGCGUGCCUUUUGUAGAAUGAGCCAGCGAGUCGCUGGCGCGGGGCGAGGUUAACCGAAAGGGAGCCGGAGCGAAAGCGAGCCUUAACAGGGCGACUUGAGUCCCGCGCCGCGGACGCGAAGCCGGGUGAGCUAUCCGUGGGCAGGCUGAAGCGGGGGUAAGACCCCGUGGAGGGCCGAACGCACGUCGGUUGAAAACGGCGGCGAUGACCUGCGGAUAGGGGUGAAAGGCCAAUCAAACCCGGAGAUAUCUCGUUCUCCCCGAAAUAGCUUUAGGGCUAGCGUCGCGCGUUCACCGCCGGAGGUAGAGCACCGGAUGGACGAGGGGGCUUCGCCGCCUACCGAAUCCAACCGAACUCCGAAUGCCGGCGGCCCAGAGCGCGGCAGUCAGAGCAUGUGGGCUAAGCUGUGUGCUCGAGAGGGAAACAGCCCGGACCGCCCGCUAAGGUCCCCAAGUUCCAGCCGAGUGGCAAAGGAUGUGCGUCCGCCCAGACAACCAGGAUGUUGGCUUAGAAGCAGCCAUCCAUUCAAAGAGUGCGUAACAGCUCACUGGUCGAGUGGACAUGCGCCGACAAUACACGGGGCUAAGCUGGACACCGAAGCGGCGGGAUUUUGAUUUACAGAAUCGGUAGGGGAGCUUCCCAUGGGCGGAGAAGCCGGAGGGCGACCGACGGUGGAGCGCAUGGGAGUGAGAAUGCUGGCAUGAGUAGCGAGAGACGAGAGAGUAACUCGUCCGCCGUGAACCCGAGGUUUCCUGGGCAAGGCUAAUCCUCCCAGGGUCAGUCGGGGGCUAAGGCGAGGCCGGGAGGCGUAGCCGACGCGCAGCAGGCAGACAUUCCUGCACCGCGCACGCGGCGCUACGACCGACGGGGCGACGGAUGGGGGUGGCUCGGCGGGGUUCUGGACGUCCCCGUGAUGGAGCGCGGCCCGCGGACCAGGGAAAUCCGGUCCGCAUUGAGGGCGAGGCUCCGGACGAAGCGAUUGAGCGAAGCGAGUGAGCCCGAGGUCCCUAGAAAAACCCCUAGGCAGGCGCGUGCGCGCCCGUACCGCAAACCGACACAGGUGGGUGGGUAGAACAUACCGAGGCGAUCGGGUCAACCAUGGUCAAGGAACUCGGCACAAUGGCCCCGUAACUUCGGGAGAAGGGGUGCCCGCGCGUACGUGAACCGGCUCGCCCGGGGAGCGGAGGCGGGCCGCAGUGGAGAGGCCCAAGCGACUGUUUACCAAAAACACAGGACUCUGCAGAAGCCGCAAGGCGACGUAUAGGGUCUGACGCCUGCCCGGUGCCGGAAGGUCACGCGGAGGAGUUAGCCGAUUCGGCGAAGCCCCGAAGCCAAGCCCCGGUAAACGGCGGCCGUAACUAUAACGGUCCUAAGGUAGCGAAAUUCCUUGUCGGGU
rnacentral:rRNA from 1 species